rnacentral:rRNA from 1 species
UACGUAGGCAGCGAGCGUUUGUUCGGAAUUACUGGGCGUAAAGAGUGUGUAGGCGGUGCUCUAAGUUCGGUGUGAAAUCUCCCGCUUAACUGGGGAGGGUGCGCCGGAAACUGGAGUGCUCGAGCGUGGGAGAGGAAAGCGGAAUUCCUGGUGUAGCGGUGAAAUGCGUAGAUAUCAGGAGGAACACCUGCGGUGUAGACGGCUUUCUGGACCAUUGCUGACGCUGAGACACGAAAAGCGUGGGUAGCAAACAGG